ensembl:lncRNA
AUCUUGCUGGAGAUCACUGUGUACCUGAAGCCUUCUGAAGGAGAAUGCCUCUAGAAGACAGAACCCUCUUAUUUAAGCACAGGAGCAAAGCCACAGCAACAGCAGUGCAAAAUGCACUACAGAUCAGCUGGCAAGGUUGUUCAUUCUGCUAACAAAACUCCCCCAGUUCGUCCUUUGAUAUCUCUAACAAACUCCUCCACCCGCCCACAGCUGCCCAGUGCAGCUCCUGUGCUCUGUGGCAAACCUCAAGGCAGGUGCAGAGAAAUAUGUACCUCUCCAGAAAUGCUGCAGUGGUACUAACUAUCACAAGCCUUUCUUGUCGGGAAAGGAAGACUAGCCUAAUUCUGGGCCCACUGACACACGGUGCAAUAAAAAGGAAAUGAGGAGAGCAUCACAAGAUCCUUACUGCCACACUAACGUUGUCAAAACCAAACCUGCAGUGGGGUUGAAGGGCUGCUCUGUCAUUCCAGUGCCUUCAGUUUUAACUCAUCAUCUUCACCAAACUGUAGCAUGCAUGUAGGAGGCCAUAACUCACGGACUUCCUUCUCCCAUCGAUAAUCAUGUGACGUUUUAAAACAGCAGUCUAAAUUUAGCCCUGGAAAGAUAUGUUACUGAUUUCUGUAAGUGCUGUGACCCCCAAAAAAUAAUUCCUUGAUGUUGUCAUUUCCUCUUCAGCCUCUGCAAGAAGGAGGUUAGUGUGACGUGAAAACAUACAAACACAAGUUUGUAACAUUGAAACUUAGGCCACCAACUUAGUUAACAACUGAACUCACUCAUCAGGUCAAGGCUAUCUCCAGAAGUUUUGAGAUGUUGAUCUUUUUUCGAGGUUUCUCUAGUAGGAUCACCCACGUCAUUGCCAGCUUGAACUCAACUCUCUUUUGCCCUGUAAAAAAAAACAAAACAAAAAAAAAACCCAUGGAAACUUCUUGUGAUCAUCGGUAUCACCAGCAAGGCAAACAACUGCACUUUUGUAGCUUCACGGGGAUAUCUGAAUACAUCCCAAUUUUGCUCUCAGCAAAGAAAGUCUGCACGAAGGCCAGCUGAAGGGUAUAAGUUCUCAGUAGGCAGAGGGUAGAUGAGUGGUGUCAGGUUCCUUUUGUUGUUUUCCUGCGUCUUCUGUUCCUUUGCCAUAUCCACAAUCUCACCCAGCCUCGUCCUAAUUAUGCUGAGUACUUCCUGGUUCCUUCUGUGCCUUUUGUGCCGUCUCUACAUUCAGAUAGUCUGUUGGUCUGUUUUGCUGGAUGUGUUUUCCUUCUCUCUGUAAUUGAAACUUUCUUGAAGUGUUCAGAAGGAAGAUUGUAUCAGUGUGUGUGCUCUCCAUAUCAUUAUCUCUGAGAGCACGCUGAGAAAAGCAGGGAUUCUGACGUGCUUUCCCACAGCACCAUAUUCUUCAUGAUUACUUAAUUUAUUCCUUCUGCAGACACACCAGGCUCAAUAAACCUUCAGGUACUUCUGUUGCUGGGAUGUUGUUCUUGCUCAUCUCUCGCCGAGCUUCAGGGAUAAGCAGUGUCAAGGCAGAAAGCAAACUGAUAGGCGACAGAGUUCUAAAAUUCUGAGUUUUCUAGAGGAUGCAAAUUGUUUCCUUUUACUACCUGACAGUGCAACACAAGUAACUUGCCAUGGCAACCAGUUUACGAGACAGAAAAAAAGUGAGCACCCCCAGGUGCUUUGUUACUGCAGUAAGGGAAGAGGCUGAGACCUUACCCUUUUUGGUCUCCAUUGAGCUGCACGUCAUCUAGGUAAGCCGUCAGUAGAAAUUUAUGCUGUGUUUGGUGCAAGUUAGCUGCUGCAUGAGCCUCUUUGAUACUUGGAUCAAAACUGAAGUGCAGUCAGAAGGAAAGAAGGAAGUGCUCAGAAGAAUUGAAACAAAGCUGGAUUCUCAGAAGCACAAGGCCUAAUCCAUAUCCGCAACAAGCUGACGCAACUCUGCAGAUGCCAGUAAGAGAUGAACCUGUUUCUUCAGAAAUUAAUUUGGUUUCCAUCCUCUGGCAGUCUCGGUUCUUUUCCCAAUUUCUUUCAAGAAAACUCUGCUCUGCAGAGCUGGG